UUGUUUCAUGUGUUGUGCACACCUCCCUCCUUCCCUGCUCUCGGUUCUCUCCCGCACUUUCUCUCUCUCUCUCUAGGCUGGGUUUAAUUUGACACCUUGAGCUUUGGUAACGAGGUGGGGAGCAGAGCAGCCACAGCGGAAUUCAUCAGGCUCAACACUGCAGGGGCCGCUCUCUGUGCGUUAAUGACAUCGGAGGGUAGGGAAACGAGACAGCCACCGCGCGAGAUGAAAUAAACAUGAGGACUGUCAGCGGUGACAGCCUAAGCAAAGGGGACAAAAUGAGCCAGGUUAACGUUGGCGGAAACCAAAUUCAUCACCUUCCUUGGCAGUGAUGAGGUCACCUAGGCUGAGAAAGACAAGCAACCCGUCCAAGGUCCCACCACCUGUGCGUCCUGGAGUUUGGACCUAAGCCUUCUACUUCCAAACGCAGUGUCUUCCCAACACAAAACUCCUGCCUCCAAAUCUGAAGCACCUACAGUUAUUCUCCAUAAAGAGAACUCAGAAAUCAUCUCAGAACUCUCACCUAGGAAGACCACGUUGCUGCAGUGCCAUCGUUUCUCCCCAGCAGAAUCUUGCCACUGCUUCCAAUUUCCCAGCGACAAAU